rnacentral:rRNA from 1 species
CCUACGGGAGGCUGCAGUGAGGAAUAUUGGUCAAUGGACGCAAGUCUGAACCAGCCAUGCCGCGUGCAGGAAGACGGCUCUCGGAGUUUUAAGCUGCUUUUGUACGAGGGUAAACGCAGAUACGCGUAUCUGUCUGAAAGUAUCGUACGAAUAAGGAUCGGCUAACUCCGUGCCAGCCGCCGCGGUAAUACGGAGGAUUCAAGCGUUAUCCGGAUUUAGUGGGUUUAAAGGGUGCGUAGGCGGUCGGAUAAGUUAGAGGUGAAAGCCCGAGGCUCAACUUCGGAAUUGCCUCGGAUACUGUGUGGCGAGAGAGUAGUUGCGGUAGGCGGAAUGUAUGGUGUAGCGGUGAAAUGCUUAGAGAUCAUACAGAACACCGAUUGCGAAGGCAGCCUACCAAGCUACUUCUGACGUUGAGGCACGAAAGCGUGGGGAGCAAACAGGAUUAGAUACCCCUGUAGUC